AUGCCAGAUCCAUCAAAGUCCACUCCUGCUCCAAGAAGGGCUCCAAGAAGGGCGUGACUGAGGCGCCGCAGAAGGACGGCAAGAAGCGCAAGCGCAGCCACAAGGAGACGCACGUGUAUAUUUACAAGGUGCUGAAGCAGGUCCACCCCGAUACCCUCAUCUCCUCUAAGGCCAUGGGGAUCAUGAACUCCUUCGUCAACGACAUCCAGCGCAUCGCCGGUGAGGCUUCCCGCCUGGCGCAUUACAACAAGCGCUCGAGGAGCUGGCCAAGCCCGGGGAGCAAGCCCAGAGAGCCAGCCCGGGGAGUUGGCCAGGCACGCCGUGUCCGAGGGCACCAAGGCUGUCACCAGCGCUAAAUAAACUUGCCAAGGAGGGACUUUCUCUGGAAUUUCCUGAUCUGACCAAGAAAGCUUCUUACCAAAAGAAGCACAGUUGCCUUCUGUUACCUCCUUAUCUACUGCAGAAAAGACGACUGAAGAAUGUAACCAUACCUGGAUGGACUUUUCUACAGGAUAAAGCUGGCCUCUUGGUCUCAUUCAGAUUCCAAAGAGAAUCAUUUACAAGUUAAUUUCUGUCUCCCUGGUCCAUUCCUUCUCCCUAAUAAUCAUUUACUGUUCCUCAAAGAAUUGUCUACACUACCCAUCUCCUCUUUUGCCUCUGAGAAAGGGUGUAUAAUCUUCUGUAACCCACUGAGGGGUUGGGGUAAUCAUUCUAUGGUCCCCAGCCCUGUACAUUAAUACAUUUACAUGCCUUUUCUCUUAAA